GUUUUGAGGACAACACUUGACCUACUUGCUGUUAGAUCUCUAAUUGCUUAUGAAGCUAUAUGAUGACCUCUUAAAAUAGCCUUUGCCUGGGUCAAAUGAAUUAUUUAUCUAGGCUUUUGCAUGUCUGUGACAUGUAAAUGCUUCAUACCCAAGAGCCUCCUCUCAACUUCAGUACCUUGGAGCAUUUCUCUGCCCAUGACAACGGCCAAAAAGUUCAGUUGUCUGUACAAAAAUCUUCUUAUUUCCAUUUUUACCCACCAUCCCAUAUGUAUGCAGUUUAGUUACAUUUUGUCUUAUACUGUAGGUACUUUCCAAAAAAAAAAAAAAAAAAAAAAACUCUUAGACCAGGCAAAACUGCUUUGGUAAUUUACAAUAAAAAUAUUAAUAUAAACAAUCGGAGACAAGUUUUAUUGGGAAGCAGCGUACAGUAUCGAACAGUAACCUAUCUCUCUUUUUGAGUCGAUGUGAUCUUUAAGCACAAGCCCCGCCCCAACGUCGAUUUCAUUGGUCAACUAAAUCACAAUCGUCUGCCAACAAAACAACGCCCCCAUCGCGCUGUGAUUGGCCUAUUUUUAUGGUCACGUGAUAGAAACAAAUGCCGCCUCUCAAGUUCGCGAGCUUUAUGCUUAAAUUACGGAUGGGAGUAAAUAAUUCACGACUCAAAAGAAAUAAUGAUCUCUGACUGUGGGUUUGGGAUUUGACUUUUUUGUUCUUCAAGGACAUUCAUCCUGCUGCCAAGAACUGUCAAACAGGAGCAUCUCAGUAUAAAGAGGGUGUGUUUCAGAUCAUCACCAGCAGGGGGCGUCUAUCACCACUUUAUGGAAUUACUGUUGCUUCCUACAACAUUCCUCAAUGACAAGAUGCUGUGCUAUGGCAGCUUACCUCUCCACAAAAUCAGAGAGACGUGAACAAUGGCUUGAAGCUGGUGCAUCAUGUCCUCCGACUGCAUACAAAAAACUGUUAUAUGUGGCCACGCCCACUCCUCCCCUCCUCUUUG